rnacentral:rRNA from 1 species
CGCCUCCUGCAAAAAUCAAUGUAUAGGAGGUCUUGCCUGCCCAGUGACAAGUUAAACGGCCGCGGUAUUUUGACCGUGCGAAGGUAGCGCAAUCACUUGUCUUUUAAAUGAAGACCUGUAUGAAUGGUGGAACGAGGGCUUAACUGUCUCCCCUUUCAAGUCAAUGAAAUUGAUCUGCCCGUGCAGAAGCGGGCAUAAAAAUACAAGACGAGAAGACCCUUUGGAGCUUAAGAUACAAGAUCAACUAUGUCAAGAACUCUAAAAUUAAGUUAAACUAAAUAGUUAACUGAUCCCUAUCUUCGGUUGGGGCGACCGCGGGAGAAAACAAAGCUCCCACGCGGACUGGGGUUAUAAUCCUAAAACCAAGAAAGACAUCUCUAAGUCGCAGAACAUCUGACCAUAAAGAUCCGGCCUAACCCGCCGACCAACGGACCAAGUUACCCUAGGGAUAACAGCGCAAUCCCCUUUCAGAGUCCAUAUCGACAAGGGGGUUUACGACCUCGAUGUUGGAUCAGGACAUCCUAAUGGUGCAGCCGCUAUUAAGGGUUCGUUUGUUCAACGAUUAAAGUCCU